rnacentral:rRNA from 1 species
ACGCUCGACACCUACGGGNGGCAGCAGUCGGGAAUAUUGCGCAAUGGAGGAAACUCUGACGCAGUGACGCCGCGUAUAGGAAGAAGGUUUUCGGAUUGUAAACUAUUGUCGUUAGGGAAGAAAAAGACAGUACCUAAGGAGGAAGCUCCGGCUAACUACGUUCCAGCAGCCGCGGUAAUCUGAGCGGGCUGGCAAGGC